rnacentral:rRNA from 1 species
GACGAACGCUGGCGGCGUGCCUAAUACAUGCAAGUAGAACGCAGUUGCGAACGGGUGAGUAACGCGUAGGUAACUGCCUCAUAGCGGGGGAUAACUAUGGGAAACGAUAGCUAAUACCGCAUACUGUGAGAUGGACCUGCGGUUUCUUAGCUAGUUGGUGAGGUAAAGGCCCAACAAGGCGAAGGUACAAAGCCGACCUGGGAGGGGUAUUGGCCACACUGGGAAUGGGACACGGCCCAGACUCCCACCGGAUGCAGCCGUAGGGAAACCUUGGCAAUUGACGGAAGUCGUACCGAGCAAAGCCGCGGGAGGGAAGAAGGUUUUCGGAUCGUAAAGCCCUGUUUUUAGAGAAGCGGUAACUAACCAGAAAGCGACGGCUAACUACGUGCCAGCAGCCGCGGUAAUUC